AUUGAACGCUGGCGGCAUGCUUUACACAUGCAAGUCGAACGGCAGCGCGGGGCAACCUGGCGGCGAGUGGCAAACGGGUGAGUAAUACAUCGGAACGUACCCAGAAGUGGGGGAUAACGUAGCGAAAGUUACGCUAAUACCGCAUACGACCUAAGGGUGAAAGUGGGGGACCGCAAGGCCUCAUGCUUUUGGAGCGGCCGAUGUCUGAUUAGCUAGUUGGUGAGGUAAAGGCUCACCAAGGCGACGAUCAGUAGCUGGUCUGAGAGGACGACCAGCCACACUGGGACUGAGACACGGCCCAGACUCCUACGGGAGGCAGCAGUGGGGAAUUUUGGACAAUGGGGGCGAACCCUCGAUCCAGCAAUG
rnacentral:rRNA from 1 species